GCUAAUUAGCCGCUAAUGUGGCUAUCAUACAGAACAACACAUCCUUUUGCAAACUUCACUUAAUGCAGUGUUGCAGGGUGGGGAAAAACCUCAAUUUGUCCACGGAAACUCUCAGCAGCAAGUAAGGAACCUAGCAAGUAAAGUCAAAGAGAAUAACUAGUAGAUAUUAUUGCCUUUUUGUAGUUUCUUGUUUAAAUAAUUGAUAUUGUGUAUUUCUUGUGUGUAUUGUUGUUUAGCAUCUUUCAAAUUACCUACCUUUUAGCACUUUUUAAUUACUAGAAUUGUUUUAAUUACCCUGGCCUUUGUAGCUAACUAGCUAACCUUAGGUCUCUCCGUUGAGCAGAAGCAAGGAUUGUUCUGUGCUAUGUACCGGAUUGUAACCACUACUCCGAUAAGCACACGUGCAUUUGAUCGUUUUCCAACCACUGUAAGCGAGAGGCGUCGCUGGAGCCGUGUCAUAAGUCCAACAGGAGUGCAUCCAUCAGGCCAUCUGGUGCAUGGACAUCCUGUGCCAGUGGGAUCCGAGCACAAUCGUCCAGUUGCGGAGACUACAGCACAUCGAGCCUGUGGACGGACAGACAUGCGGAACAUCAGGAUCACCACACGAGAAGCAGUGCAUGAUCAACGCCACCCUCAGGAAGGAGAUCUGCUGGAAGUGUCUCUCUCGAUCUCUCAUUAAGCAGUCCAGAUGAUUUCCGUAGGGUGUGUCCUAUCCAACUCUACUUACUUCUUCUUUGGUGUUCAAUGGAAACAUUGAAGUUCCAGGCACUAGGGAUGAUGCCGGGAUAGCAGGUACAAGCAGGGAUGACUGGGGCGCCAACUUUGGGAGCAUGUGGUCCUUGAAAAACUCCUCUAGUCCAGCAAUAUGAGUCUGCCAGAGGUCGUCACGCUGGAUGGGAAUGGUGAUGGAGGCUUUGGUGGUCCACACAACGAAGAAGUGUCCCUUCCAGUGAUGUGGAGCUGCCCUUGGACCUGGUGCCAGUAAUGAUGAUCUUCAUGGAGGCGGGACACUUGACCUCCACCACUGCUGUGGUGCCCACCAGACCAUCCGGUGAGGCACCCAGGAUUCCAGACCCCGUGACCCAAAGCCCUCUCCUGCACAUCCAUCCCUGUAGCCAUUUUGAAUGCCCUCCUCUUCAUUAUCUGUGCCCCACUUUACAGACAACACCCCAUCCAACGACUGUGAUCUGAGGACCCUUUUUAGCAGCAACAGAGUAACGCGCUUGGCCCUAACCACUGCUCCAACAUUGCUGGCCGUCAACCUCCCUCUCCUCAUGGUGUGCCAGUUUGGGUUGGUGCACUGUCUAACUGUUGCCUGCCGUAUAGCCUCCUGCUGCUCCAACGACAGCGCCAUGCCAGCCAGGAUGCCUGCAUUCCCCAGGUGCCCUUUAUUUUAACACUGUCAGACAGAAAAGCAGUUGUUCUGGCUCAGGUUCAAGGAGACAUGCCAUUCCACUGAACCUGCUCCGAAGAUGGUUCCUUAACCACUGAAGAUCCUUCUCUGUGGGCUCUAAGGACAGAGGCUUGUAGUCUUCGGCUGGGUACAGGUCCUCCACUGACUACACCUGGUUGGGCACGGCUGGCUUCCUCCACUCGCAUUAUACAUCAGUACAGCCAAUAUUGUGAACCACAAAAAUAGCGAACAGCUGCAUGGCUACACUUAUGAGCUCCACGGGGGCAUUCAAAUGUGGUAGAAAAAAUCCCCUGGUCACCUAUAGAGACCUGCCAAGAGGAAGGAUGUUAAGAGCCACAUGCCUUUCAAUGCAUGACUAUGAGCACCUUGAAAUGCAUUUGUUGUAAGAAAUGUGCUAUAUAUGUAAAGUUUGAUUUGAUUGAUGACAUUACAGCUGUAGAAUAUUUAAUAAACUGUAAUUUUCACAUGAAGACAAGUGCAGUUUUUAAUUGAUAACUUGGAAUUGUAUCACUUGACAUAUCAUUCAUACAGUGGGAAGGAUCCUAUAAAUCAAGACUGUGUGAAUGCAUGUACCACACCGAAUAAAUAAAUAU